UUUGGUGCAGUGAUGAGGAUAUCGUGGACUAGAGUUUCUGAUCUGGUAUAUAAUACCAGCAGUUGAAGACAAACCCUUGGCUGUCUGAGCACUACA